CGUAACAAGGUCUCCGUAGGUGAACCUGCGGAGGGAUCAUUACACAAAUAUGAAGGCGGGCUGGAACCUCUCGGGGUUACAGCCUUGCUGAAUUAUUCACCCUUGUCUUUUGCGUACUUCUUGUUUCCUUGGUGGGUUCGCCCACCACUAGGACAAACAUAAACCUUUUGUAAUUGCAAUCAGCGUCAGUAACAAAUUAAUAAUUACAACUUUCAACAACGGAUCUCUUGGUUCUGGCAUCGAUGAAGAACGCAGCGAAAUGCGAUAAGUAGUGUGAAUUGCAGUAUUCAGUGAAUCAUCGAAUCUUUGAACGCACAUUGCGCCCUUUGGUAUUCCAAAGGGCAUGCCUGUUCGAGCGUCAUUUGUACCCUCAAGCUUUGCUUGGUGUUGGGCGUCUUGUCUCUAGCUUUGCUGGAGGCUCGCCUUAAAGUAAUUGGCAGCCGGCCUACUGGUUUCGGAGCGCAGCACAAGUCGCACUCUCUAUCAGCAAAGGUCUAGCAUCCAUUAAGCCUUUUUUUCAACUUUUGACCUCGGAUCAGGUAGGGAUACCCGCUGAACUUAAGC
rnacentral:rRNA from 1 species